UACGUAGGCAGCGAGCGUUGUUCGGAGUUACUGGGCGUAAAGCGUGCGUAGGCGGCGGCCCAAGUCUGGUGUGAAAUCUCCCGGCUUAACCGGGAGGGUGCGCCGGAAACUGGGUUGCUGGAGUACCGGAGAGGCAGGCGGAAUUCCUGGUGUAGCGGUGAAAUGCGUAGAUAUCAGGAGGAACACCCGUGGUGUAGACGGCCUGCUGGACGGUCACUGACGCUGAGGCACGAAAGCGUGGGGAGCGAACAGG
rnacentral:rRNA from 1 species